GCCUGAGUGGCUCAGUCAGUUAAGCAUCUGACUUCGUCUCAGGUCAUGAUCUCACAGCUGUGGGUUCAAGCCCCGCAUCAGGCU
rnacentral:tRNA from 1 species